AAUAAUCAAGUUCAUCAAUUGAUGGAAAAUGAGCAAUAAAAGGUUUUUCCUAUUACAGUAAGGGUUCAUUUGAUUGCAAAGGUGGAAAAGACAAACCAAUUCUAUGUAAGUUGGAAAAGAAAAAACUACCAAAAUCAUAGGAAUUCGAUUUCCAUGCAAUUGGCCAAAAACAUGCUUUAAAUGUUUGUACUUUGGAAUUCGAACUUCAUUUUCAUUUUCACAUCAAACAACCAAAAUAGAAAAUGAAUUCAUCGGAUGUGACAUUUUUCACAGAAUUUAAUACUAUCAAAUGAACCCUAAUAUCAAAACUCUCCCAAGUUUUGUAUGGAAUUUUAUGUGCCUUUUGCAGCUCGCCUCGAAAUUUUUGUGAGUGUUCUUUAACCAUUGAUUUCCAUGACUCCAAUGUUUCCUUACCUGCUUUGAUACCUUUCAAGUGCAUUUCUUCAAACAUUUUAUGAGCCUCUCCAGCUUACCUUUUUCACACAACUAAUUGAUCACAACCAACCCAAUAUGUUUUAUAGCCCUAAAUCUUCCAUCCUCUUCACUCUCAUUGACUGAAGUAGCUUCAAUACCUCAUCAAAUAUUCCAGAAGCACUAAAAACAAUAAAGCAUUUUGCGAAGGCUCUAAGAAUAAACACAUGUGGAUAAAAAUACCUGAAUUAUGAUUGAAGGUGAUUCCAUGAUAAAAAUCUCAGAUGAAAAUACCAUUCACUUCCAUCUGCUGCUGCUGCCUUCACUCUCUCCACAACUACCAUGCCAUUCUCGAACUCCUUGAUCGUAGACAUAUGAUUAGUAAAUUGACGAUGACAUAGUAACCUACUAAGUGAAAAUCUACUACCAAAUAAGUAAAAUCAUCAAUUUAUGGCCAAAUUUUAUGACAAUUUUAGGGAGAUUUAAGAGUGAAAACACCAAUUUGGCAGAAAAUGUACUCUAAGAGAGAGAGAGAGAG
rnacentral:lncRNA from 1 species